rnacentral:rRNA from 1 species
UGCGUAGGCGGACUAAUAAGUCAGUGGUGAAAUCUUUCGGCUCAACCGGGAAACUGCCAUUGAUACUAUUAGUCUUGAGUUCGGUUGAGGUAGGCGGAAUGUGUAAUGUAGCGGUGAAAUGCUUAGAUAUUACACAGAACACCAAUUGCGUAGGCAGCUUACUAGACCGACACUGACGCUGAGGCACGAAAGCGUGGGGAGCGAACAGGAUUAGAUACCCUGGUAGUCC